CCUACAUUGCACACUGAAGAGUAGAAAUUGUGAGUAAUCUUAUGUGCUGUAUCAGUGAAGACAUGUCUUCCAAAAUAACAUGCUUACUUUGGAUUAAGAAAUACAUCUUAAUGUGUGAUAUGAAGUUUGGGGAAAAUACACAUCUGACAUCACCUUUAUUUCAAGAGUGUGUGUACGUGGUGACAAUGAAGAUAUAAGAAUUGGAAAAGAAAUUUGAGAAGUUGAGAGUAAUAUAAAAGAUUAUGUUACUUAAAACAAUAAAUACAAAUAAAAGCUGCAUUGAAUAUUUA